UCCUACGGGAGGCAGCAGUAAGGGAUAUUGCACAAUGGACGGAAGUCUGAUGCAGCGACGCCGCGUGGGUGAAGAAGGUUUUCGGAUCGUAAAGCCCUUUUCUAUGUGACGAGAGAGGACGGUAGCAUAGGAAUAAGUGUCGGCUAACUACGUGCCAGCAGCCGCGGUAAAACGUAGGACGCGAACGUUAUCCGGAGUUACUGGGCGUAAAGCGCGCGUAGGCGGUUAUUUAAGUUACCUAUGAAAGAUMCMGGCUAAACUUGUAUUGGUUAGGUAAAACUGGAUAACUAGAGAGAAAUAGAGGGAAGUAGAAUUCCSGGUGUAGUGGUGAAAUGCGUAGAUAUCCGGAGGAAYACCAGUGGCGAAGGCGGCUUCCUGGAUUUCCACUGACGCUGAUGCGCGAAAGCGUGGGUAGCGAACGGGAUUAGAUACCCCGGUAGUCCACGCCGUAAACGAUGUACAUUAGGCGUUCGGUUACKCAAGUAAUUSAGUGUCGCAGCWAACGCGAUAAAUGUACCGCCUG
rnacentral:rRNA from 1 species